AAAAACAUCUUUGCAUGCUGAGUGAGAGUAUUGGUAAGAGAAGUAAAGGAAUCGACAUUUCAAAAAAUUCUCAAUAUUCGUGAAUCGACAAAACAGGAUACCCAUAUUGCUCAGCUGAGUUAAAUGUUGAAUCCAAAAGAAGAGGGUGGUGGAACACACACAUAACACCAGGAUUUUCAUUCUCCAUCUUGUUCCUUUAAUUUGCCUCUAAGAAACUAAAUAAGAGUACCCAGAUCUGCCCACCAUCAAAUUAUGCAUGCAAGACCAAAAACUACAUAAAUUAAAAGUUCCCAUUAAACAUAUGUCUAUA
rnacentral:misc_RNA from 1 species